rnacentral:misc_RNA from 1 species
GUUUAUGGUCUCCAUUUGGUUUUGGUUUAUAUUCUCCUGUCCUUUCCUGUCCCAUUGUGAGCCCAUCGGCCCGUCUUGUUGAGCGAGCUGUAGGAAACGGAGAGCCAGUAGAGGGCUCUGCUGUCUGGUUGCAGCCAGAGGUAGGGGGCAGCACGGAGCACGGGUUGAGACGCUGAUUGGUACUUUGGUACUUGCAGGGCACUAAAGAGUUGGUACUUGUGUAAUGUGGAAUGUGAAUGUGGAAUUGCGUCGUGUCGAAUGGUUAGCCAAAUACUCAUGUUAAAAUGCGUUAAAUUUAUGAUUCGCGUGAUAUCUCAUGUGAUGCAUAGGAGCCUUUUGCAUUCAGAGAAAGACCUAUUAUAAUGGACACGGUACUUAGUGUGGUACUGGAAAUAGUGCUGGUACUCAUACGCCAACACGUCAGAUUUGGUAACCGCCCAUUUCAUGCCGCAUUUUGGUUCUUGGAAAGCGUUUGAAGUAUAAGAAGGCGAUAGCGUUCAGGCGUGAAGAAUAUGUCUGCAGGUGGAUAAUGUUGAAACCUUGCUUACUUGCUUACUUUGGCCUGCUUGGAUGCUUGUGAAGCUGGAGUCACAAUACAGAGGCCAACUAUCAAGUUGCACGAGUUUUGCACCACCAGACUGCCGAGUUUUGGAGACGCCUGGAGGCUACAGUUUCAACAUCACCUUCAUCUUCAGUUGAGUUCGGAGCAGCACGCCCAGCCAAGCUGACCUGCAGCAAGUUCGUCUCGCACUCUGAGGUCAGGUCACUGUGCUGCCAUAUGGUUUCUUGGGGUCAGCCAGUGGACUAUUGUGGUGUGUGAUGGCUUUAUGCAGGGGUCAGCUGGUUUGAGGCCCUGUUUUGAUUGGAUAAUAGCAGUUUGGUCAGACUAAACAACUUGUAAUAUGUCUGUGAAUUUGGUUGACAAAGCUGUUGGUGAUUUGUUUUGUAGUCAAGGGAAGCAGUAGUUUAACCUGGAAUAGGCAGGUUGAAUUUGAUUGCGUAUUGAUGUUUUUGGAUUAGGCUGCAAACUGUGCAUGCUUGGUUUGAAGGUUGCGCAGCACUGAGCUGAUUGGUUGCGUUGAUGAUUUUUGGUUUAUGUGGCUGAGGUUUGUGGUUUUGUAAGAUUCCUUCAUAUUCCUUGCCUGAGAUUUGGAAUUGCCUAUCCUAUUUUCCUGUACAUUACCAUGGCCCUACCACUGCUAGCAGCCAUUCAAGGUCUUCGAAUCUCAGAACUGAAGGUUGAGCUUGAGAAUCGUAACCUAGACAGCAGGGGAAACAAAGCUGCUUUGGUUGAUCGUCUUUAUGUUGCUAUGGAGAAGGAAGGUGUACAGCCAGAACAGGUUAUGCAACUGAAGAAGGGUCUAUCUGUAGAGACGAGGACCAAAGAGGAUGGGGCUGAACCACAAGAUGAGACCAAGUCACAAGAAAAUGCAGUCAAACUUCAAGAUGUGACCAGAGCACAAGAAGAUGUAACCACAGUACAGAAUGUGAUUACAAAACCUGAACAUGCAACAGAGACACCAGAAAAGCUGGCCAGACAAGCUGAUGGUGUGACCUUACCACUGCCAGACGUCCGUCCAGAAGACAGUGCCUCACAGCAAGGAUCCAGGACAUCUCGUCGUUCAAACCGGUCCAGCACUGUAAGAUCAGUUCGGAGUGCUGCCAAAGAGGAACACAUGAAGUCAGCCGCAAGAAAGGCAGGAAUCUUAGCCAAGAUGGAAGUCCUAAAGGAGCAAGCUACCCAGGAAGCUAAACUACAAGAGCUUAUAAAAGAGAUGGAGUUCAACAAGCAGCAAGGCUUGUUGAUGGCGCAGUUGGCAGAGGAGGAAGCUCAGCAGCAGGUUUACGAGCAGUGUGGAAGGAGUGAGGUUGGGUCACUUCACAGUUCCCAGGGUCUGCCAACCCGACCCUCACCUCAGGUAUUGAAUCCACAGGCCUCCGUCUUCCAGCCUCAGGGAAACCACGCAGAAGCGAGCCAGAAAGGCCAAGUGAUGGAGGAAAGGUACAAGGAGUCUGAAGCGCACUGGCAGAUGGCUCAUCUACCCCCAGCGGAAAUAAUUAAGUUUCAGGGCGAUUCAAGCGAGUAUUUUUCCUUCAUCCGCUCAUUUGACAGCCGAAUUGGAAAGAAGGCUAUAUCUGAGGAGGAAAAACUGUUCUACCUCCAGCAGUUUACUGAAGGUCGGCCGAGGGAGUUGGUCCGUGGUUGUCUUCACAUGCCGCCCAGCAAGGCCUAUCAAGAGGCGAGAAGACUGUUGCACAAGAAGUAUGGAAACGAGGACAAAAUCAGUGCAGCCCACGUAGAAAAGCUUUUGUCUUGGCCAAACAUAAAACAAGACAACCUGGAAAACCUUGAGAACUUCUCUGUCGCGCUAAUGGUAUGUGAGAGCGUGAUGUCAGACAUGCCCGCCGGCAUGCGGGAAACGGACCACCCGCGAACUCUUCGCAAGCUGGUUGAAAAGCUGCCCUUCCCGAUGCACGACCGUUGGAGAAGACUGGCCGACUCAGUCAUGGAAAACCAGCAUCGGCGAGUGACGUUCUCAGACCUGGUGGCGUUUGUUGAUAAGGAGACCAGGGUGGCAACAAACUCACUCUUCGGACGACAAGUGAUGAACACAUCGAAGGUGAUUCCAAAGGAAACCAGGAUGACUCCUAAGGAUACUCAGCGUCAGAAGCCGAAGUACGGACUAGCGACUGCUGUACAAGUUCCCGCUGGCUGCGCUUUCUGCAAGGAAGGACACUCUUUGGAAGACUGUGAAGCACUCAAGCAGAAGGACCUAAAUUCCCGAAGAGACUUCAUCAAAGAAAAUAGGCUAUGCUUCGGAUGCCUGAAGAAAGGACAUGUCGCGAAGAAAUGUCAGCAAAGAAGUACCUGUAAGGUCUGUGGUGGAAGACACGUCACGUUGCUGCACGAGGAAAGAAGCCAGAAAGAUCCUCAGCACCGACAGACUCCUGAAAAACCUCAGGAAGCCCCAUCUGUGAAGACGUGCCGAGUACAGCACUCCAAAUGGAACACAGGCUUGGCAGUCGUACCUGUGAUAGUCAAGUCAUGGAAGAAGUCAGUAACUACACAUGCUCUUCUAGACAGUGGCAGCACUGCGUCCUUCUGCCAGGAAUCUCUGCUGCAGAAGCUGGGACUCGAGAACAAGAGUAAGAAGAAGCUGUCCCUGACAACAGUUUGCAAGGAUCAAGUCGAGAUUGAGAGUCAGAUCAUCACUGGGCUCGAAGUAGGUGACAUCGAUGGACAGCAUACCCUCCAGCUGCCAGCAGUCUACAGCCUAGAGAAGGUACCGGUCGAUGUGAACGACAUACCAAGACAAGAAGAUGUCAGCCGUUGGCCGUACCUGAGUGGUGUGAAUCUGUCGAGCUUGGAUGCACCAGUCGAAUUGAUGAUAGGCAACAAUGUCCCACUGGCGAUGGAGCCGUGGGAGGUGAUCCAUAGCCAGGGAGGAGGGCCUUUUGCCACCAGGACACUCUUGGGAUGGGCUAUCAACGGUCCUGUUCGACAUGAAGGAAGAGGGCUGGUGAAGGCAAACCGAGUCAAAGUAGAAAACGUUGAAGACAUCGAGGACAUGAUGAUCCAGAUGUACAACGCAGAGUUUACUGAGAAACUCUCAGACAGCUCGAAAGGACCUUCGAUUGAAGACAAGAUGUGGCAGAAGAAGGUAGAGGAAACCAUCACGUUCACGGAAGGACACUACGAGAUAGGUCUUCCUCUGCGAGACAAGGACACUCAGAUGCCAAACAACAGGAACAUGGCGCUGCGGCGACUCUCCACCAUCCAGAAGAAGAUGGAGAAGCAGCCGAAGUUCAGAGAGGACUACACUACUUUCAUGAACAACGUGCUAGAAGAGGGCUACGCCGAGGAGGUGCCCGAGGAGAGCCGAGGAAGAGCGGAUGGGCUGGUAUGGUACAUGCCCCACCAUGGAGUCUACCACCCUCACAAGCCUGACAAGAUUAGGGUUGUGUUUGAUUGUGCGGCUAAGUCUGACGGUGUGUCGUUGAACGACAAGCUUUUGCAAGGCCCAGAUCUGGCAAACUCCUUAGUUGGAGUCCUACUACGCUUCCGCGAAGAACCAGUAGCCUUCAUGGCAGAUGUGAAGUCCAUGUUCUACCAAGUAAAGGUUCCAGAGUCUGAAAGAGAUCUGUUGAGGUUUCUAUGGUGGCCUGGGGGCGAGAUCAACGAAGAACCAAAGGAGUACCGCAUGACCGUCCACAUAUUUGGAGCUGUCUCAUCCCCAAGCUGCUCAAACUUCGCGCUAAGACGGACUGUCGAAGACCACCAGGAUGACUUCAGUGAAAAGGCACUGGAGACUGUCAAGAAGGCGUUCUACGUGGACGACUGUCUCCAGUCGGUGUCGUCAAUCGAGACGGCGAAGUCGCUGGCGUCAGAGGUACAGGCUCUGUGCGCCAAAGGAGGUUUUCAUCUGCACAAGUAUGUGUCCAACAGGGAAGGAGUUCUCGACAAGAUACCGAAAGAAGAUCGAGACGAAGGUUCUUCUAAGAAAGGACUUCACUUGGAAGAAGCGACAAGCGUCAAGAAAGCACUGGGUAUCAAAUGGAACCUGGAGCAGGAUACCUUCAGCUUCUGUGUCAGGGCAAGAGAGAUGAAAGUGACCAGAAGAGAGAUUCUUUCUGUCAUCAGUGGAGUGUUUGACCCUUUGGGCUUUGUGGGGCCAUUCAUUCUUACUGGUAAGAAGAUCCUACAGGAGCUGUGCGCCAUGAAACUUGGUUGGGAUGAAGACGUCCCGGAAAGUCAAGCUCUGAUCUGGACCAAGUGGCUAAAGGACCUGCCGAAGCUGGAAGCGUUGGAAGUGGCAAGGUGUCUGAAGCCAGCGAGGUUAGGAUCGAUCGUCUCAAGACAGCUACAUCACUUCAGCGACGCGAGCACAGUGGGUUAUGGUGUAGUGUCAUACCUGCGUCAGACGGAUGACAAAGGGCAGGUACACUGUAUGAUCCUCAUGGCGAAGUCGAGGGUCGCGCCGCUCAAGAAGAUGACCGUACCUCGAAUGGAGCUGGCUGCCGCAACAGUUGCAGUGCGACUACAUGCGAUGAUCACAAAGGAACUUGAGAUCCCUAUAGACGAUGCUACCUUUUGGACGGAUAGUUCGACAGUGUUACGGUACAUCAACAACGAGGGGACAAGAUACCAGACGUAUGUCACGAACCGGUUGGCGGUUAUCAGGGACGAAUCUGCACCAGCGCAAUGGAGAUUCGUUAAGUCGGAAGAUAACCCAGCGGACGACGCCUCGAGAGGGCUUAUGGCGGGUGAUCUUCUAGAGAACAACAGGUGGUUCCAUGGUCCAGCUUUUCUGGGGAAAGAAGAGUCUGAGUGGCCUCGUCCGCCUGAAGGACUUGAAGACACACAAGAAGCUACAAGAGAUGCUGAUGUGAUUCGGCCUGCUGUGGUUGGCUCGGUCUGCUUUGCUGAGGACGCACAGCCUAAUCCGACAGAUCGGCUUCUGUACCACUAUUCAGACUGGCUCAGACUCACAAAGGCAGUGGCAUGGUUGCUGCGCUUCAAGAAGUACCUGAUGGCGAAGAGAAUGACGACAGGAGCAGCAAGGGAAGGACCGGUCACUCGAUCCCAGGCUCGGGAUAGGGAAAGGUCUGCUUGUCGGUUGUCAGUGGCCGAACUUGAAGAAGCGGAAAAAGCCAUUCUCCGGCGAGUGCAGGAGAGUACGUUCGCAUCGGAACUACAAGCGCUGAAGCCUCAGUGUUCUGAUGGAGAGACCAGGCAAGAUCCAGUGGACCGGGCGGUGAAGAGAAGAAGUCCUCUGCGGCAGUUGGAUCCCAUGCUAGAGGACGGACUAUUGAGAGUCGGUGGCCGUUUAGCCAUGGCCCCACUGGAUUCCAAAGCAAGAAAUCCAGUCAUACUGCCCGCACGCCACCCUGUCUCAGAGUUGAUUGUACGGCAUGUUCACCAACAGGUGGGCCAUCAAGGAAGAGAACAUACAUUGGCGGCGCUACGUGAAACUUUCUGGCUGAUUCACGGCAACUCGGAAGUGCGCCGGGUCCUGAGGCAAUGCAAGCAUUGCAUAAGACGGCAAGCACGACCAGAAGAACAGAAGAUGGCAGAUCUGCCCCCAGAGAGGGUAACUCCAGAUCAGCCGGUUUUCAGCAGUGUCGGUGUUGAUCUGUUCGGUCCGUUUGUGACGAAGAGGGGCAGAGCCUCGGUCAAACGGUACGGGGUAAUUUUUACUUGCCUAGCCACUCGAGCCAUCCAUAUUGAGUUGGCGGACUCAAUGUCAACGGAUUCUUUUAUUAAUGCGUUACGACGAUUCACAGCGAGACGAGGGCCAGUCCGGAUGAUCAGGUGCGACAACGGGACAAAUUUUGUCGGAGCCGAAAAGGAGCUUCGCAAGGAACUUGAGCACCUAGAACAAGAUCGCGUACACAAGAAAUUGCUUGAAAGCAAGAUUGACUGGAUUUUUAACCCCCCAGGAGCCUCCCAUUUCGGUGGGGUUUGGGAGAGGCACAUUCGGAGCAUCAGGAAGAUACUCAAUUCCCUCCUGACCAGCCACACCCUUGACGACGACGGCCUCACCACUCUCCUGUGUGAGAUCGAGAGUAUCUUGAACAGUAGACCACUGACGACGGUGUCAGCAGACCCGAGAGAUUGUGAGCCGCUUACACCGAACCACUUGCUGCUUUUUCGCGGAGGUCAUGUCACGCCUGGAGUCUUCUCCGAAUUUGACCUGCAUGGUAAGAGAUGGCGCAAAAUGCAGUAUCUCGCGGACUGUUUCUGGACGAGGUGGAGGCGGGAGUACUUGCCGCUCCUCCAAAGGAAGCAGAAGUGGAACAGUGUCCGAAAAAACCUGGAACCAGGAGAUGUGGUCCUGGUGAUGGACGAGACACUCCCGAGAGGCCAGUGGCCACUUGGAAAAGUUGCUGAAGUGACGAAGGACCAGAAAGGUCUCGUGAGGCAAGUAGUGGUGAGAAGAGGAACUUCAACGUUCCGUCGACCAGUGUCGAAGCUGGUGAAGCUCGUGAGCGGCGAGGACUGAGCACUACGUGGCUGAGGAAGACGAAGUUCAUUUUUAUUUAAGAGUGCAGUGUUGAAUCGGAGAUGAUUCAAGGAGGAGGGUGUAAACGCCGGAAGCGUUUAUGGUCUCCAUUUGGUUUUGGUUUAUAUUCUCCUGUCCUUUCCUGUCCCAUUGUGAGCCCAUCGGCCCGUCUUGUUGAGCGAGCUGUAGGAAACGGAGAGCCAGUAGAGGGCUCUGCUGUCUGGUUGCAGCCAGAGGUAGGGGGCAGCACGGAGCACGGGUUGAGACGCUGAUUGGUACUUUGGUACUUGCAGGGCACUAAAGAGUUGGUACUUGUGUAAUGUGGAAUGUGAAUGUGGAAUUGCGUCGUGUCGAAUGGUUAGCCAAAUACUCAUGUUAAAAUGCGUUAAAUUUAUGAUUCGCGUGAUAUCUCAUGUGAUGCAUAGGAGCCUUUUGCAUUCAGAGAAAGACCUAUUAUAAUGGACACGGUACUUAGUGUGGUACUGGAAAUAGUGCUGGUACUCAUACGCCAACACGUCAGAUUUGGUAACCGCCCAUUUCAUGCCGCAUUUUGGUUCUUGGAAAGCGUUUGAAGUAUAAGAAGGCGAUAGCGUUCAGGCGUGAAGAAUAUGUCUGCAGGUGGAUAAUGUUGAAACCUUGCUUACUUGCUUACUUUGGCCUGCUUGGAUGCUUGUGAAGCUGGAGUCACAAUACAGAGGCCAACUAUCAA